GACGAACGCUGGCGGCGUGCCUAAUACAUGCAAGUCGUGCGGACCUUGUUGAAAGCUUGCUUUUAAAAGGUUAGCGGCGGACGGGUGAGUAACACGUGGGCAACCUGCCUGUAAGACUGGGAUAACGCCGGGAAACCGGGGCUAAUACCAGAUCGUUUUUUCCUCCGCAUGGAGGAAAAAGGAAAGGCGGCUUCGGCUGCCCCUUACAGAUGGGCCCGCGGCGCAUUAGCUAGUUGGCGGGGUAAUGGCCCACCAAGGCAACGAUGCGUAGCCGACCUGAGGGGGUGAUCGGCCACAUUGGGACUGAGACACGGCCCAAACUCCUACGGGAGGCAGCAGUAGGGAAUCUUCCGCAAUGGACGAAAGUCUGACGGAGCAACGCCGCGUGAGUGAAGAAGGCCUUCGGGUCGUAAAACUCUGUUGCCGGGGAAGAACAAGUGCCGUUCGAACAGGGCGGCGCCUUGACGGUACCCGGCCAGAAAGCCACGGCUAACUACGUG
rnacentral:rRNA from 1 species